rnacentral:rRNA from 1 species
GAUCAUGGCUCAGGAUGAACGCUGGCGGCGUGCAUAACACAUCAAGUCGAACGGACGCCUUCGGGCGCCAGUGGCGGACGGGUGAGUAACGCGUGAGGAACCUGCCGCGGAUUGGGGAAUAACGACCGGAAACAGUCGCUAAUACCGCAUAACGCACAGAGGCCGCAUGACCUUUGUGCCAAAGAUUUAUCGAUCCGCGAUGGACUCGCGUCCAAUUAGGCAGUUGGCGGGGCAACGGCCCACCAAACCGACGAUUGGUAGCCGAACUGAGAGGUUGAACGGCCACAUUGGAACUGAGAUACGGUCCAGACUCCUACGGGAGGCAGCAGUGGGGAAUAUUGGGCAAUGGGCGCAAGCCUGAACCCCAGCGACGCCGCGUGAGGGAAGAAGGUCUUCGGAUUGUAAACCUCUUUCAGCAGGGAAGAAACAAAUGACGGUACCUGCAGAAGAAGUCACGGCUAACUACGUGCCAGCCGCCGC